UGGGGAAUAUUGCACAAUGGGCGCAAGCCUGAUGCAGCCAUGCCGCGUGUAUGAAGAAGGCCUUCGGGUUGUAAAGUACUUUCAGUCGGGAGGAAGGUGGUAAGGUUAAUAACCUUAUCAAUUGACGUUACCGACAGAAGAAGCACCGGCUAACUCCGUGCCAGCAGCCGCGGUAAUACGGAGGGUGCAAGCGUUAAUCGGAAUUACUGGGCGUAAAGCGCACGCAGGCGGUUGAUUGAGUCAGAUGUGAAAUCCCCGGGCUUAACCCGGGAAUUGCAUCUGAUACUGGUCAGCUAGAGUCUUGUAGAGGGGGGUAGAAUUCCAUGUGUAGCGGUGACAUGCGUAGAGAUGUGGAGGAAUACCGGUGGCGAAGGCGGCCCCCUGGACAAAGACUGACGCUCAGGUGCGAAAGCGUGGGGAGCAAACAGG
rnacentral:rRNA from 1 species